GCCUGUCUCAGUUCGGAUUGGAGGCUGAAACCCGCCUCCAUGAAGUUGGAUUCGCUAGUAAUCGCGCAUCAGCCAUGGCGCGGUGAAGACGUUCCCGGGCCUUGUACACACCGCCCGUCAAGCCAUGGGAGCCGGGGGUGCCUGAAGUUCGUGACCGCAAGGAGCGACCUAGGGCAAAACUGGUGACUGGGGCUAAGUCGUAACAAGGUAUC
rnacentral:rRNA from 1 species